rnacentral:tRNA from 1 species
ACUCGUAUCGUCUAAUUGGACUAGGACCCCUGGCUUUCACCCAGGUAAAUACGGAUUCGAAUUCCGUUGCGAGUACCA